rnacentral:rRNA from 1 species
UACGGAGGGGGCUAGCGUUGUUCGGAAUUACUGGGCGUAAAGCGCGCGUAGGCGGACCUGCAAGUCGGGGGUGAAAGCCCGAGGCUCAACCUCGGAACUGCCUUCGAUACUGCGGGUCUCGAGUCCGGGAGAGGUGAGUGGAAUUCCUAGUGUAGAGGUGAAAUUCGUAGAUAUUAGGAAGAACACCAGUGGCGAAGGCGGCUCACUGGCCCGGUACUGACGCUGAGGCGCGAAAGCGUGGGGAGCAAACAGGAUUAGAAACCCCCGUAGUCC